AAUUCAUAGGGUCCAAUGCAUUAUAUAUUUUUUUUUUUGGACCCAAAUUAAAUUAAUCAUUAUUUUGAGACCCAAUUAUUGGCACUUUGUGCUUGUUAGAUAUGGCAAAGAUUUCUUUAGGAUUCUCUGGGCUGCUUAAGAGGGGUAAUUGGGAGACCUAAACUUAUAUUUCCCUAAUUGUUUACAAUCCAACCAUUAACUUUUGGGCAUAAUUUGGGGGUUAGUAGAGCCUUCCUAGGGGAGGUUUCAAUCUGAAUUUAGAGACCAUAUGUUAAAUGGAUUAGGAGUAAUUUCAGAUUUACUGAAAUCUGAAAAUAUCACUCUGAGAUUGAAGUUUUUCUAAUUACUCCUUAAUCAUUCAACCGAUCAUUCUCAUUUUCGGAAGGGUCAUAAUACGUGUUGGGGGAAAAUUGUUUCCUAGAGUUUGACCUAUAUUUGGUAGGAUUGACUUUUGGGUUGACUUUUUAGGAGAAAGUGAGGUAUUUGAAUUAGUUUUAAACUGGAAGAUUAAUGGGAGAUGUAAUUAAUUGCAGGUAGUGUUUGACGUGAGCAUUCAGAGCUUGGAGGGUAAAAGUAGGAGAAUUACAGGCUGAGAUGAUUGAGAGUAAGGUAUGCGUGGAGCAGACAUUCGAGGGUGACCUGAAGCUAUUAUCAGUUUAUUUUUAUAUUAUUAGAUGUUUGUAGCAGGACGUGGAUUUGUGUAAACUUUGACAGAGCAUUUUUAUUUAAAUUUGAGAAUGCACCUUAGAUUGCCACCAAUAUGUAAGGUUUGGGAUAUUUUAUCUACGAGUAGCUGUUUUAUUUUGUUGA